CCAUCAAAAUUUCGGUGCCUCAUUAAACGAAUCGCAAACGAAAUUCAAGAGAUCGAAAAAACCCCCAAAAUAAUCAAAACUUAAGAGAGAGAAAAAAUCAGGAGAGAGAAAGUUUAAAAUUAAACAAAGAAGAAGAAUCUUAUGCUCUUUUGCUCUGAACUUUCAUCUUUAUUGCACAUUGAAUUGAAUUCCUAAUUCCUAGGGUUUGUUUCGAUCAUUGAUUUAGUUAUCUUUAUCGCAUUUUCAAAUCUGUUUUUUUUUUAUAUUUUUUUAAAAAAGUUUGAAAUUAAUAGAUUAUUAAGUUUCCGUUGGUCAAUUCGUCACUUUAAUUUCAAUACUGUGAAGGCCGAUUUUUGAUUCAGUUCGUCAAUUUCUUUUUCCGAUUAGGUUUUGAUUUAGGGUUUUUCGGCCAGUGGUUAAUUAUUAGGGGGGAAGAAUAAUACAAUGAACGAUCAGUCUCAAAUGAUGAAUCAGCAUCAGAAUCAUAACAUGAAGAAUAAUCAGUCUCAAAUGUUGAUGGUGAGUCACUCACAGAUGAUGAAUCAGGCGCAAAUGGUGAAUCAGCAGCCUCCGCCGCAGAUGCCGCCGCCGAAUCAAGCUCAGAUGGUUAAUCAACUGAAUCAGAUGGUUAGUCAAGCUCAGAUGACAGCGAAUCAGCCGAACAUGAUGGUUAGCCAAGCUCAAAUGGCGGCAAAUCAGCAGAAGAUGAUGGUUGGUCAGAACUACGGUCAGUGGUCACAACCUCCUCAUUCAAUGCCUCCUCCUCCAAUGAAUGCUAUGAAAUUCGCCAAUCCUAUGAAUCAAAUGUAUGGUGGAAUUGUGAAACCUGGACGUAGUAGUAACAAUAACAAUAAUUGGAAGGGGAAGAAACCUAUGGAUAAGAGGAAAGAUAGCAGGAGGAAGGAUAAUAUUAAUAAUAACAUUAACAAACUAUUGCCCGGUGGUGGUGGUAUUGGUGUUGGUGGUUUGCCGUCAGUCGGCCCAGGCGGCGUUGUGAAUUAUCAGCCGCCGACCCUCUAUGAACUUGAACAGCAGAAUCGACUUAAGGCUAGGAGGUUUUACCACCCUAAGAAGAAGUACAAUAGAAUGGGACCUUAUGCUCAUGCUCCUAGAAACACGACUUCUUAUAUAAUUCGAGCUAAGAAGUCCGGUGGGAUUGCGUCGUUGGUUUCUCCUUGUCCGGUGACACCUGCGGUGUUGCCAACACCUGUUUUCUCACCCUCGAGGGAGGCGUUGGUUGAUAUGGCUAAGGAAGAGUGGGGAGUUGAUGGGUAUGGAUCAAUGAAAGGAUUGAUUAGGCUUAGGUCACCGGGACAUGACGAGGCGGUGGAUGAUUACGAUGAAGAAGAUGAUGGGUCGAGUGAGAGUGAUGUGGAGGAGCAUGUGGAGGUUGAAAGAAGGUUGGAUCAUGAUUUGAGUCGGUUCGAGAUGAUAUACCCGAAUAGCGGUGCUGAUUACCAUAAUGUGUUGGAGAACAGAGUUGAUGAUCAGGAUACACAUAUUGCUCAAUUGGAGGAGGAGAAUUUGAUUCUUAAGGAGAGGUUGUACUUGAUGGAGAGGGAACUUGGGGAUUUGAGGAGGAGAUUGUUGUGCCUUGAGAGGCAGAAUCAAGUUGUAGAAGAUAUUAAUGAAGAGGUUGUGGAGAAUAUUUCUGAAAAUGAUAGUGAAGGACUGAGAAAUGGUCCUUUCUUUGUUAAUAAGCAUAAUGAGGAGGUUGAUUCUUUGCCUGGGAAUGGUGACAGUGGUGAAACUCUGCACAAAGAACUCAAUGAGCUUGCUGUGAAAGAGGUAUUUGAUGAUGAAGUGAUGAGAAGUCAUGGAAAUGAUGUUGGAUUGGAGGAGGAUAAGCUUGAUAAUGGAUUAGCUAAUGAUGGGGUUGUGCAUAGGUUGAUGGUAGAGAAUCAGGAUGGAGAACACAGUGAAGAACUGCAACCUGGGAAUAAUAAGGAUACUGAUUCAUCUUUUGGGAAAGACGUGGACACCAUGAAUGGAGCUGUGAAAACUCAACCUGAUGCAGAUGAUGCUUUCAUGGGAGAAACUUUGGUGGGUGAAAACGAUAAGCCAGAGGGUGAGGUAAGCAACGGAAAUGUGGUCAACUUGAAGCAAGAUGCGGCCGUUGUAGGUGGAACAGAUGCAGUAGUAAGUAGGGAUUCUGUGAUGAGUGAUGCUUUAGCAACAGAUAAGGAAGUCAAGGAUGUUGAAUCUCUUGAAUCUUGAUUGAAGGAUGUGGAGUUAAAAGCUCAGAGAAGAAGAGCAUUGGCGAUGGGUGACUAUUCGAGUUGUCCCGCGUUAAUAUUGCAGAUGAAUAUGAAUGAAGAUCAGCCAGUAAGAUUCAAUCCCUUGAUUCAUUACUUUAAUUCAUUAGCAUUAUGUGACACUCUGCAGGUUUUCCAGGCAUGAUCUGUAUAGCAAUAAAGAAAGGAAUUUUCAUCGUACGUGACUUGAUCAUAGGUUUGUAUGGUCAGUUAGCUUUAUUACUCUUACUGGUUGUUUCCUCUGUGUUGCAUCAGAAAAAUCUUGUUAAUGAUAGGUUUGUAGUGUCACUAUAACUAUAUUACUCGUGAUGGUUGUUUCCUUUGUGUUGCAUCAAAAAUCUUGUCAUUCAUAGGUUUGUAUGGUCACUAUAACUUUUAUUACUCGUGAUGGUUGUUUCCUCUGUGUUGCAUCAGAAAAAUCUUGUUAAUCAUUGGUUUGUAGGGUCACUAUAGCUUUAUUACUCAUGAUGGUUGUUUCCUUUGUGUUGCAAACUUGUUGUCCAUCAAUUUGGUAGUAAAGGCUCUUCUUAAGAUAGGAUUUACUGUUCGACAUUGACGUGUCCCAUAUAUGUUUUGUUUAAUGGGUUGAUCAUAUAGCAUGGAAUCCUCAGUCUCUCCUGGUUUAAGGUUAGGCAUAGCAUAGGUCCGCGUAGUUGUUCCUAUAUUGAGCAUAUAUGUAUAUUCCUAGUGUAGGUCAUCGGAGUAAUUGGUUUUACUUUACCCUUUGACUAGACCUGAUCAACUUGAGCCCGGCCCGCCGUCCCAAAAAUUUACGGGUUUGGACAGUUUAUACUUUAUAGGGCCGUAUUUCAGUCCCGGCACAAAAUUUUAUUUUAUUUUGACGGGCUCUCGACAACGUAAAAUAACGCUUUUAGUUAUAAAGUUGGCCCGCCUAAAAAUCCCCAAAGCCCGUUGUUUUAGGCCUGAAUAGCGUGUUUGGGGCACAAAAUUUGGCCUGACCUGGCCCGACAUGAUGGGCUGUUUUUAUGUCCUGGCCCGGCCCGCCUUUUGAUCAGGUCUACCUUUGACCCUGUAGAAGAUUUCCUCUUUGGCCUCCUUGCUAUUUCCUUCUAUUAUUAUCACAUUUUAUGGAUUUGCUGCAGUAGAAUCUGAUGUACCAUGGUUUAGUCAUUCGUUUGAAACAAUGCUAUAGGGUUAACUCUGUGGUACGGAUAGUGUCUUAAAUUUGACUCAAUACGCAACAACAAUGGUUACUCUUCUUAUCGUGUACUAUAUUUGAUUGCAUGUCUUCCUGUGCAAUGUUACUACAGAAGUAGUGGUAUACUGAUAUGUACUCCGUAAUUAGAUUUUGCAGAUGAGUUAUUUAUAGAAUGUAAUCCUGUGACGGUAUUUCUGUAGACAAUUACCUCAUUGGCUUCCUUGCUAUUUCCUUCUAUUAUUUUCACAUAUUAACAGGAUUUUCUGCAGUAGAAACUGAUAUACCAUGUUUUAGUCAUUCUUGUGAAGCAAUGCUAUAGGGUUAACUCUGUGGUGCUGAUAGUGUCUUAAAUUUGACUCAAUACACAAUAACGAUUGUUACUCUUGUUAUCGUGCACUAUAUUUGAUUGCAUGUGUUCCUGCAAUAUUACUACAGAAGUGUAUACAGAUUUUGCAGAUGAGUUAUUUAUAGAAUGCAAUCCCGUGACGGUAAAUCUGUAGACAAUUACCUCUUUGGCUUCCUUGCUCUUUCCUUCUAUUAUUUUCACAUUUGAACGGGAUUUUUCUGUAGUAGAAACUGAUGUACCAUAUUUUAGUCAUUCGUUUGAAGCAAUGCUGUAUAGGGUAACUCUGUGGUGCUGAUAGUAUCUUAAAUUUGACUAUAUACACAAUUGUAACAAUUGUUACUCUUUGUUAUCUUGCACUAUAUUUGAUUGCAUGUCUUCUUGUUCAAUGUUGCUACAGAAUUGGUAUGCUGAUAUAGUGAUAUGUAAUCAGAUUUUGCAGAUGAGUUGUUUAUAGAAUAUACAAUCCUGAGACGGUUUAUUCUGUCAAAUGAGCUCGGCUUUGGAACUCAGGUUUUGGUUUUCCAUAUGCUGUAUUCAAUUACUGACAUAAAGUGGAAGAUUUUCUUGUUAAGUUCUUGACUUGUUAGUUGUUACAUGGAUGCUUAAUGUUAGGGUUUCACUGCAUACUGCACAAACGAAAUGCUUGCAAGGGAGAAUGAUAGGCUCUGUUGUGAAGCAGAUUAUCCUCCGCGCUAGUCGGCUACGUGUUGGAUAAGCACUUCUGCAAGACUAGUAUGUUGUUACUACUCAACCAUGUGUUUUGUGUUAUGUCUUACGAGUCGAUUAACGUGUUAUAAUUCGAUUAAGCCAUAGUAUAUGUGUAAUUUAUUGUUCAUCUAAUAUUAAAAGAUACACUUGUAAUACAUUUUUGUAUAUGAGCAUGAGACAUCAAAUUUUUACUCUUCUA